rnacentral:rRNA from 1 species
UACGAAGGGGGCUAGCGUUGCUCGGAAUCACGUGGCGUAAAGCGCGCGUAGGCGGAUCUGCAAGUCGGGGGUGAAAUCCCGAGGCUCAACCUCGGGAACUGCCCUUCGAUACUGCGGGUCUCGAGUCCGGGAGAGGUGAGUGGAAUUCCUGAGUGUAGAGGUGAAAUUCGUAGAUAUUAGGAAGAACACCAGUGGCGAAGGCGGACUCACUGGCC